UCAGAUACCAUCGCACCCCUCCUCCCUCGUCCCCAUCUCCUCCUGCCGCCGCCACCUCCUCCCGUCCCCAGCCACUCCCAAUCCAGUCCUCUCCCCGCUGCUUCCACCCACCGUCGACCUCACCGACCUCCUCACCCACCGCCGCCGACCUCGUCCCUCCCUCCCCUCACCAUCUCUCCCUACCCUAUUCCCCAGAUCGAGUCGACCAGGCGCUAGGGUUCCGUCCCUCCGCCCCUCUCCUACUCCCCUCCCAUCUCCGCCCCCUCCCUGCUCCCUCCCAUGGCUAACCCCUUCGCCUCCCCUCUCCUCCUCGCUUCCCCGCUCCCCCUCCGGGCCCCGAUCUUCCCGCCCCACCCGUCGGCGCUGGUGGAGGAGGCCGCCACCACGGCCGUGGAGGAGUACGAGGCACCUCUGCUGAGGCUUCUCCGACCAUAUAGGCGAGCUAGUGCUUCCCCCCUCUCGCUGUCGUCUUCUUCCCUCGUCGUCCACUGCCUUCGGGAUCUGCCUACGGAAUGAAGGCGGCAGACCACACCAGUUCUCUGUAGGCGGCGAUUCGAUGAAUGCUUCAGACCAUCCUUCCAAGCCUCGGCAAGCUAGACAGGUGGAUUCGCCAAGCAGGGCCCUCCGGCGAGGUGGAGGGCUGAGGGACGAGAUCGAGCAAGUCGACGGGGUCGUCUCCGCCGUGAACGACAGGGUUACCCGAAACAAGUUAGUGGCCAGAUCCCUCGCAGCCCUCAAGCAGAUGCUCUACGACGCCGAUGACACGGUCGACGAGCUCGACUGCUACAGUUUUCAGCAGGAGCUCCAUGCCCGUGGAGGCCCAUGGCAUUGGCACCAUCCCAACAAAAUUGAUGGACGAAGUAACCAACUGCCAAGUACUUCAAGGAAACUAAAUGCUUUACAAUACUCCAAAUAGCCAAUGCGACUCUGUUUUUAAGACCUUUUGCACAUUUAUAAGACCCUGUUUUUAUACAUCUGUGUAAACAGUCCAAUGUGAUUCUAACUGAUGAUAGUUCAUCUAGAAGAAAAAGGAGAAGGGGCAACAUGGAGAAAGACGCGGUGCUGGUGUGCAUGAUCUUGGGCUUUCUAGGCUCCGUCGCGGUCACCCUCGGCUUCGUCGCCAACAACUAUAGCUCCAAGGCAUGGAUCCAAGAUCAAACAUCACAAUUCUCUUUUCAUCAAUUCGAUAGAUAUGUGCUAACUGAGUCUAUGUUAGUCCGUGGAGUACCACGGGAUGACUGCGUGUACCUGAGCCCACUAGCGACGGGUCUCGGCAUCCUGGGUGUGUUCCUGGUGUUCAUCAACCAGGUCAUCGUCGCCGGCUACGCCAGCGGCUGGUGCCUCUGCCUGUGUUGCUGCUGCCCCUACUGGAUCAAGCGCUGCCGGCUGGCGCCAACACCGUCCAAGUGGAACCCAGUGUAAACGUAAAGAGCUAUGUGAGCCCUCCUGGAAGGGGCUUCAGUUGGACCUCUGAUUAAUCUCCCCAUAGACUUUGACCCUAGCAUCCCCGUGAUAGGGUUUGUCGGAACCGCCAUUGCCUUAGGGUGCUUCUCCAGCACCGCCAUCAUCGCCAAUCGCAGGGAAUACUUAUACAUCGGUGGCCUGACCUCUUCUGGCAUGUCGAUCCUUCGACAUGAAACUGUAUACUAUCUCAAGAACGUAGGUGACAAGAAGAGGAAGAGGAGGUCCUAAACGUUUCUCCCGCACAUCGUACAUACCACAACCGCGGCCUUGUAGGAAUUAAGCUGGCGCUGUGCCACCCUUGUGUAUCUGUUUUUGAUUGUAUGUGCACUUGUUGGACGUGCAUACAUGUAUUUGCUCUUGGGAGUAUUUGACUGGAUGAUCUCUGGAUUUAAUCAGUUAAUUGACAGAUUUAUUGAUA